AGUUGGUUUCCAAAAUUCAUAUUCAUUACGGAUGCCAUCAAUAGAUCCUAUAUUUUACAUGCUGUCCAAUACCCUUAUAUAUUUUAACCGAUUU